UUUUCAGUGAUAAUUCCAGGGUUGGGAACGUUACUUUAUAAAAAUAUCUAGUUACAGUUACAGUUUCUUCGUUAAAUAUGCAACUGGCUACAGUUACAUCUAUAGAGGUUUAAAAUAUAUAAUAUAUAUAAAGUAACGAAUUACUCCUAAGCCUGGAUAAUUCACUGAUUGACUUUUAGAGAGUUCGUAUCGACGUAACGCUAAUCGUAAGUUUUGUAAUUUCAGAGUAGUACGUGCCAUAUAAUAAUCCGCACGACAGUCAAUGAAAGAAUUUACCCUAAUGUAUGGAAUUCGUAAUAAAUAUCAGAAUAAAUGAUUAUCAAUGUUAACAAUGCAAUUUUGUAACAAUUAAAUAUGAACACGAAACAUCCCAACGCGCACAAUACAUUAAUAUCAGUGUCGAAAUUCUGAAAGCAGACCAAGUAUUUUACAUCCGACAUUCUCGUAUUGCAGAAUUUAUGGUAAUAUUGCUCGCUUUUAUCACGGUCGUGUUUCUUCAUUGUUCAAAGCCAUUUUUACUGAAAAAAGAUAUCUCGAAGAAACACCUUGUAUCCAAUUGUACGUAGUCAGUCAUCUAACAUACUAUAUACGUAUAGUUGUCAUCGAAAUUUAAUGAUGCAUAGCGCGUGUAUAUCUCAAAUAGUACUGUCAUCCUAUAAAAGUUGGCAAUUGUAUUUCAUUAUAAAUAACAAAUAUGUCUACAACACGUAAACUUUUAAAAUGGAGGAUUUUCAACGCUGCUCCUUGCAGACUAAAUUAUUCGUAACGAUAAUGUGAUUUAAAAAAUUCGUUGAUUGAAUUACGAUAUAAAUUGCACCCUGUAAAAUGUCAAUUGACUGAAUCGAGAUUAUGUUGUACAUGUUAAAAAUUGCGCGUUGUGUUCACGAAUGAGUUAAUUAGAGCGACGCUAAAAGUAGAAUUUGUUAGUUUCUGAUCACAGUUUUUUUUAUGAGACUCUAUCUAGAUUUAAGCAAAGACAUCGGAAUGAACUUUCGUAACAUAAUUAUUGUCUAUUUGACGCGUUAAUGAUCUGUAAUCAUCGUAUAAUCCACCCUGCCGAGAAAUAGCCUAACGACUUCUUAUAAAACUGAUGCAAUCCAAAUUUUUAUUUUGUAUAAAUUAUCAAGAAAUCUUCCCUGCGUCUAUCAGUGUGAAUGCGUAUGUGCAUAUUUAAAUGGAAACUAGAGCGAACCGAAUGAGAUUGUAGCCCUACUCGUAUCAUAUCAUAUUAAUUACUAUUUCCAACGGUGCAAAGAAUUUUGUUAAUCAACGAACCUGUCGUUAAAUAAUUGGAUGAUAAAGACUGAUAUGCGCACACUUGCAUUUAAGAAAGCGA